rnacentral:rRNA from 1 species
CCCUUAGAUGUCCUGGGCCGCACGCGCGUUACACUGAUGCAUUCAACGAGCACCCGCUGGGCCGAGAGGUCCGGCUAAUCUUUGAACGUGCAUCGUGCUGGGGAUAGAUGAUUGCAAUUAUUCAUCUUCAACGAGGAAUUCCUAGUAAACGCAAGUCAUCAGCUUGCAUUGAUUACGUCCCUGCCCUUUGUACACACCGCCCGUCGCACCUACCGAUUGAAUGGUCCGGUGAAAUUCUCGGACGCGGACUUGCGAUGUUAAUUCGGAGCUUGACUGUGAAAGUUAAUUAAACCUUACCAUUUAGAGGAAGGUGAAGUCGUAACA